UUAACUUCUUUAAUGCAAUCAACCAUAAACUUUACUAUCUUAUCAGCAGUCAAGACCUCAAAUGGAAAUUCUUCUUGUUCAGAUUUGUCCUGUGUGGAGGAGGGUUCAGCCAUUUCCACGAAGUCUUCAUUAUCACUGGAAUCGAUUUCAACUUCACCUUCAGAGUCCUCAUCAUAUAUCAUAUCAUCUUCACUGUCCAUUUUCUUUCUUUUGUUUGAAAUAUUUAUAGAUCCCUCUUAUGAGUUGUUGCACAAAACAGGUCGUAUUUACAUCUGUGACGUCAUCUUCGGUCUGCGACCAACAGACGGUCACCAGUAUUUGGAAUUACUAGGGGAAACGAUUGAAUCUUUACUUAAAAUAUAAACAAUGACAUUCCCUUUUUGUCGAGCAUGACAUAAAUUGAAUUUGGUUGAAAAGAAAGCUUUGGUAAAUCUGAAUUUACGAAGAUGAUAUCACCUUCGCCGAGCUCCUCAUUCUCGAGGAUUCUGGGAAAGUUUUU
rnacentral:lncRNA from 1 species